CUGAGUGGAAGCCAGCCAGAGGCUGAGGAAUUCCUUGAGGUCCCUGAACCAGAGAAUCCACACAGGACCUACCGCCCUAUAACCUGCUUCAUUCUGGUCCCCAGACUCGGAGAAGGCCUCGGCCUCACUGCCGGGGGGCUCCCCUGAGGAUGGCUCCCUGAAGAAGAAGCAGCGGCGGCAGCGCACGCACUUCACCAGCCAGCAGCUGCAGGAGCUGGAGGCCACCUUCCAGAGGAAUCGCUACCCCGACAUGAGCACGCGCGAAGAGAUCGCCGUGUGGACCAACCUCACUGAGGCCCGCGUGCGGGUGUGGUUCAAGAACCGGCGCGCCAAGUGGCGGAAGCGGGAGCGCAGCCAGCAGGCGGAGCUGUGCAAGGGCGGCUUCGCAGCCCCGCUCGGGGGCCUGGUGCCACCCUACGAGGAGGUGUACCCGGGCUACACGUACGGCAACUGGCCGCCCAAGGCGCUCGCCCCGCCGCUCGCCGCCAAGACCUUCCCGUUCGCCUUCAACUCGGUCAACGUGGGGCCUCUGGCUUCACAACCUGUAUUCUCACCGCCCAGCUCCAUCGCUGCCUCCAUGGUGCCCUCGGCGGCCGC
rnacentral:lncRNA from 1 species